rnacentral:rRNA from 1 species
GAUGAACGCUGGCGGCGUGCCUAAUACAUGCAAGUCGAGCGAACAGACAAGGAGCUUGCUCCUCUGACGUUAGCGGCGGACGGGUGAGUAACACGUGGAUAACCUACCUAUAAGACUGGGAUAACUUCGGGAAACCGGAGCUAAUACCGGAUAACAUGUUGAACCGCAUGGUUCAACAGUGAAAGACGGUCUUGCUGUCACUUAUAGAUGGAUCCGCGCCGCAUUAGCUAGUUGGUAAGGUAACGGCUUACCAAGGCAACGAUGCGUAGCCGACCUGAGAGGGUGGUCGGCCACACUGGAACUGAGACACGGUCCAGACUCCUACGGGAGGCAGCAGUAGGGAAUCUUCCGCAAUGGGCGAAAGCCUGACGGAGCAACGCCGCGUGAGUGAAGAAGGUCUUCGGAUCGUAAAACUCUGUUAUUAGGGAAGAACAAAUGUGUAAGUAACUAUGCACGUCUUGACGGUACCUAAUCAGAAAGCCACGGCUAACUACGU